rnacentral:rRNA from 1 species
CCUACGGGAGGCAGCAGUAGGGAAUAUUGCUCAAUGGGGGAAACCCUGAAGCAGCAACGCCGCGUGGAGGAUGAAGGUUUUCGGAUUGUAAACUCCUUUUGUUAGAGAAGAUAAUGACGGUAUCUAACGAAUAAGCACCGGCUAACUCCGUGCCAGAAGCCGCGGUAAUACGGAGGGUGCAAGCGUUACUCGGAAUCACUGGGCGUAAAGAGAGCGUAGGCGGGAUAGCAAGUCAGAUGUGAAAUCCUAUGGCUUAACCAUAGAACUGCAUUUGAAACUGUUAUUCUAGAGUAUGGGAGAGGUAGGUGGAAUUCUUGGUGUAGGGGUAAAAUCCGUAGAGAUCAAGAGGAAUACUCAUUGCGAAGGCGACCUGCUAGAACAUCACUGACGCUGAUGCGCGAAAGCGUGGGGAGCAAACAGGAUUAGAUACCCCUGUAGUC